AAUCUCAGCAUUCCCCACCCGAGCCAGCCAGCGGCGCUCCCAAAUCCCAAAUCUGGCCGCCUCCAGCCAGCGGUGCCCCCAAAUCCUAGAUCUGGCCGCCGCCAGCCAGCGGCAUCUCAAAUCCCUCGUCGUCCGUACGCUGAUGCGCACCAAAUCCGUCGCCAACCUGCUGCGCCCCAAAUCCCUCGCCGCCGGAUGCGCCUCCUCCAACCUCUCGCCCGCCCCAUUCGCUAUAUUCGCUGGGUUGCCGAACAAGGAAUGGCCGCCUUCGGAAUAUCGCCGUCAACUUCGCCUCUACCUCCAGAGGGUCGUCGUCAAAGUGCCCGCCGAUGUCGUCAGUCGAUUGCGCGCCAUCGAAUCCUUGUUCGAGUGCCACCCCUUUCCAUCCAGGUUGCAGGACUCCUAAAAAAUCACUUCUUCAGAGGAGGGAAACAGAGUCCAACUGUUAAUUGUAAAGGUAAUGGACAAUACUGCAUGCUUGUUAUCAUUUAAUAUAUCAAUGGUUUCUCAAAUAUAGCUCUGCAUAUCUCCUUUUCUGGUUCUGUAAUCAUGGGUCACCCCUUCCAAUAUUUGUAUGUUGUGUAUCAACAUGUAAUCGGAAGUUGAAGCUAUUGAGUAAGCAGUAACAGUGAAGAUUGGUUACCCAGUUAAUUUUCUCAAGAUCGAGCAGUAAAUAAGAAUCUUGAAAAAGUCACUAGCAGGUUCUAUACAUAACCUAUCUUUUGUCUUGUGUCGGGACACAUGGCGCAUAAGGUUUUUUACUUGUGCUUUCGCCCUUCCAAAGUUUAAAAUGAAUAAUUGUAUGGCGUGUUUUCUCCUAUAUAUUACAAUAACAUUCGAUGUCUAGUAUGCUCAAGAUUAUCUAGUGUGUUUUGAGCCAGUAGCUGCUAUAUUUGUUCAGUCUUAAACUCCUAAUGUUACUUUCCAUUCUAUUUCCUUAUGAUUUUUUAUGGUCUGACUAUCGAGUACGUAACAGUUUUGCUCUCUAAUUUGUUUGUCCAUACCCUUUGAUUUAAUCUCUUUCAUUAUUUUUGGAUUUAGGAAGAAUUGAAAAAACUUCACAGGUUAUCACUCAAUGUCAAGAAAUUGAAUAAUAUUCGUCCCAAUGAAGUGGUGCUAUUCCCUUUAAUAUUUUGUUGUUGUAUGCACAUCAACCUAUAAAUUAAAUAUUGGUCAACAUGUAUUUGAGGUCUGGGUUUUCUAGUUUGCAAUUCAUCUUGAGUAGGAGCAAAAUUCAAGAUCUGGGAUCUACGAGAGAUGCAAGAGCCUUUGUUCUAAUCAAGGGACAAUUGAUCUGUUGCAUGGAAGGAAGAUGAUCAGCACAACAAGGAGGUUGCAGCAAGAAGUUAAGGGUAACCUGGAAGAGAAGCUUGCAACUUAAGCUGUAACAAAACAUUAUGAAAAGAGGUCUCACGCUGUGAAUGUUUAGUUGAUGCACUAGUGUUUUUAGAUGUUGCGCCUCUGUUUUCAUUUUCCUUUGAUUCAUGUAUGCAACUUCGAUGGAAUUGUAUCCGAAUUAUGUGAAUUUGUAACUCUAUGGUUGAUGGAAGCUAUUGAUAGUGAUGUUUCUCUAUUCUAAACAUUCAGAGUAAUGAAAUAGCUAUGUCUAAGACCAUCAA